rnacentral:rRNA from 1 species
AAAUUGAAGAGUUUGAUCAUGGCUCAGAUUGAACGCUGGCGGCAGGCCUAACACAUGCAAGUCGAGCGGUAGCACAGAGAGCUUGCUCUCGGGUGACGAGCGGCGGACGGGUGAGUAAUGUCUGGGAAACUGCCUGAUGGAGGGGGAUAACUACUGGAAACGGUAGCUAAUACCGCAUAAUGUCGCAAGACCAAAGUGGGGGACCUUCGGGCCUCAUGCCAUCAGAUGUGCCCAGAUGGGAUUAGCUAGUAGGUGGGGUAACGGCUCACC